rnacentral:rRNA from 1 species
CAGCAGCCGCGGUAAUACAGAGGGUGCGAGCGUUGUCCGGAAUUACUGGGCGUAAAGAGCUCGUAGGUGGUUUGUCGCGUUGUUCGUGAAAACCAGCAGCUUAACUGCUGGCGUGCGGGCGAUACGGGCAGACUAGAGUACUGCAGGGGAGACUGGAAUUCCUGGUGUAGCGGUGGAAUGCGCAGAUAUCAGGAGGAACACCGGUGGCGAAGGCGGGUCUCUGGGCAGUAACUGACGCUGAGGAGCGAAAGCGUGGGGAGCAAACAGGAUUAGAUACCCUGGUAGUCCACGCCGUAAACGGUGGGUACUAGGUGUGGGUUUCCUUCCUUGGGAUCCGUGCCGUAGCUAACGCAUUAAGUACCCCGCCUGGGGAGUACGGCCGCAAGGCUAAAACUCAAAGGAAUUGACGG